AUUGAACGCUGGCGGCAGGCCUAACACAUGCAAGUCGAGCGGAUGAAGGGAGCUUGCUCCUGGAUUCAGCGGCGGACGGGUGAGUAAUGCCUAGGAAUCUGCCUGGUAGUGAGGGAUAACGUCCGGAAACGGGCGCUAAUACCGCAUACGUCCUGAGGGAGAAAGUGGGGGAUCUUCGGACCUCACGCUAUCAGAUGAGCCUAGGUCGGAUUAGCUAGUUGGUGGGGUAAAGGCCUACCAAGGCGACGAUCCGUAACUGGUCUGAGAGGAUGAUCAGUCACACUGGAACUGAGACACGGUCCAGAGUCCUACGGGAGGCAGCAGUGGGGAAUAUUGGACAAUGGGCGAAAGCCUGAUCCAGCCAUGCCGCGUGUGUGAAGAAGGUCUUCGGAUUGUAAAGCACUUUAAGUUGGGAGGAAGGGCAGUAAGUUAAUACCUUGCUGUUUUGACGUUACCAACAGAAUAAGCACCGGCUAACUUCGU
rnacentral:rRNA from 1 species